rnacentral:rRNA from 1 species
CUACGGGAGGCAGCAGUGGGGAAUAUUGCACAAUGGGCGAAAGCCUGACCGAGCGAUGCCGCGUGCGGGAUGAAGGCCCUCGGGUUGUAAACCGCUGUCAGUUGGGAGGAAGGCUCCGUGAAGAGCGGAGCUUGACCUAUCUUCAGAGGAAGUACGGGCUAAGUUCGUGCCAGCAGCCGCGGUAAUACGAACCGUACGAACGUUAUUCGGAAUUAUUGGGCUUAAAGGGUGCGUAGGCGGCUCAGAAAGUGGGGUGUGAAAGCCCUCGGCUCAACCGAGGAACUGCGCCCCAAACUACUGAGCUCGAGGGAGACAGGGGUGAGCGGAACUGAUGGUGGAGCGGUGAAAUGCGUUGAUAUCAUCAGGAACACCGGUGGCGAAAGCGGCUCACUGGGUCUCUUCUGACGCUGAGGCACGAAAGCUAGGGGAGCGAACGGGAUUAGAAACCCCGGUAGUCC